rnacentral:rRNA from 1 species
AUUGGACGCUGGCGGCAUGCCUUACACAUGCAAGUCGAACGGCAGCACGGGUGCUUGCACCUGGUGGCGAGUGGCGAACGGGUGAGUAAUACAUCGGAACAUGUCCUGUAGUGGGGGAUAGCCCGGCGAAAGCCGGAUUAAUACCGCAUACGAUCUACGGAUGAAAGCGGGGGACCUUCGGGCCUCGCGCUAUAGGGUUGGCCGAUAGCUGAUUAGCUAGUUGGUGGGGUAAAGGCCUACCAAGGCGACGAUCAGUAGCUGGUCUGAGAGGACGACCAGCCACACUGGGACUGAGACACGGCCCAGACUCCUACGGGAGGCAGCAGUGGGGAAUUUUGGACAAUGGGCGAAAGCCUGAUCCAGCAAUGCCGCGUGUGUGAAGAAGGCCUUCGGGUUGUAAAGCACUUUUGUCCGGAAAGAAAUCCUUGGCUCUAAUACAGUCGGGGGAUGACGGUACCGGAAGAAUAAGCACCGGCUAACUACGUG